rnacentral:ncRNA from 1 species
AAAAAGGCAAUGAAGAGAAAUAGUAUGUAUUAUACCUGUCUCAGAGAGAAGAUGGCGGUGCAAAUCUUCACAAGGGUAAUGCAGAAGCAGUCUCAGAGCUGUGGACCGAACAAACUUUAAGUAGGCUCCAACGGAGUUUCCGCCGUUAAAAGGAAAUCGGUAUCGGGUAACUGCCCCGUACUGACUGAGAGCAAAGUAAAUUUGAAUUUAGGUGGUAACACGGACUUAAGAGUUCGCCCUAAGC